UACGUAGGGUGCAAGCGUUAAUCGGAAUUACUGGGCGUAAAGGGCUCGUAGGCGGCCAACUAAGUCAGACGUGAAAUCCCUCGGCUUAACCGGGGAACUGCGUCUGAUACUGGAUGGCUUGAGUUCGGGAGAGGGAUGCGGAAUUCCAGGUGUAGCGGUGAAAUGCGUAGAUAUCUGGAGGAACACCGGUGGCGAAGGCGGCAUCCUGGACCGGCACUGACGCUGAAAAGCGAAAGCCAGGGGAGCAAACGGG
rnacentral:rRNA from 1 species